rnacentral:rRNA from 1 species
GACGAACGCUGGCGGCGUGCUUAACACAUGCAAGUCGAACGGAAAGGCCCUUCGGGGUACUCGAGUGGCGAACGGGCGAGUAACACGUGGGCGAUCGGCCCUGCACUUUGGGAUAAGCCUGGGAAACUGGGUCUAAUACCGAAUAGGACCACGCGCUUCAGGGCGUGUGGUGGCAAGCGUUUGCGGUGUGGGAUGGGCCCGCGGCCGAUCAGCUCGUUGGUGGGGUAAUGGCCUGCCAAGUCGACGACGGGUAGCCGGCCUGAGAGGGUGACCGGCCACACUGGGACUGAGAUACGGCCCAGACUCCUACGGGAGGCAGCAGUGGGGAAUAUUGCACAAUGGGCGCAAGCCUGAUGCAGCGACGCCGCGUGAGGGAUGACGGCCUUCGGGUUGUAAACCUCUUUCAAUAGGGACGAAGCGCAAGUGACGGUACCUAUAGAAGAAGCACCGGCCAACUACGUG